GAUGAACGCUAGCUACAGGCUUAACACAUGCAAGUCGAGGGACCGGCGCACGGGUGAGUAACACGUAUCCAACCCGCCCUUUACUCGGGGAUAGCCUUUCGCAAGACAGAUUAAUACCCGAUAUUAGGGAGGGGGAUGCGUUCCAUUAGGUUGGUGGUGAGUUAACGGCUCACCAAGCCUUCGAUGGAUAGGGGUUCUGAGAGGAAGGUCCCCCACAUUGGAACUGAGACACGGACCAAACUCGUACGUGAGGCAGCAGUGAGGAAUAUUGGUCAAUGAGCGCGAGCCUGAACCAGCCAAGUAGCGUGAAGGAUGAAGGCUUAUGGGUCGUAGACUUCUUUUAUAUAAGAAUAGGUAUUAUAUGAAGAAGGAUCGGCUAACUCCGUGCCAGCAGCCGCGGUAAUUC
rnacentral:rRNA from 1 species